GUGAACGCUGGCGGCGUGCCUAAUACCUGCAAGUCGAGCGAACGGACGAGAAGCUUGCUUCUCUGAUGUUAGCGGCGGACGGGUGAGUAACACGUGGAUAACCUACCUAUAAGACUGGGAUAACUUCGGGAAACCGUAGCUAAUACCGGAUAAUAUUUUGAACCGCAUGGUUCAAAAGUGAAAGACGGUCUUGCUGUCACUUAUAGAUGGAUCCGCGCUGCGUUAGCUAGUUGGUAAGGUAACGGCUUACCAAGGCAACGAUGCAUAGCCGACCUGAGAGGGGGGUAGGCGACACUGGAACGGAGACACGGACCAGACUCCUACGGGAGGCAGCAGUAGGGAAUCUUCCGCAAUGGGCGAAAGCCUGACGGAGCAACGCCGCGUGAGUGAUGAAGGUCUUCGGAUCGUAAAACUCUGUUAUUAGGGAAGAACAUAUUUGUAAGUAACUGUGCACAUCGUGACGGUACCUAAUCAGAAAGCCACGGCUAACUACGUG
rnacentral:rRNA from 1 species